UCCCUUGAGGACUAGUGGUUAGGCCUCGGUGCUCUCACUGCUGCGGCCCGGGUUUGACUCCUGGCCAGGGAG